AUUGAACGCUGGCGGCAGGCCUAACACAUGCAAGUCGAACGAGUGGCGGACGGGUGAGGAAUGUCUGGGAAACUGCCCGAGGGAGGGGGAUAACUAGUGGAAACGGUAGAUAAUACCGCAUACCAUCGGAUGUGCCCAGAGUGGAUUAGCUAGUAGGUGGGGUAACGGCUCACCUAGGCGACGAUCCCUAGCUGGUCUGAGAGGAUGACCGGCCACACUGGAACGGAGACACGGUCCAGACUCCUACGGGAGGCAGCAGUGGGGAAUAUUGGACAAUGGGCGCAAGCCUGAUGCAGCCAUGCCGCGUGUAUGAAGAAGGCCUUCGGAUUGUAAAGUACUUUCAGCGAGGAGGCGUUACUCGCAGAAGAAGCACCGGCUAACUCCGUGCCAGCAGCCGCGGUAAUUC
rnacentral:rRNA from 1 species